rnacentral:lncRNA from 1 species
UUUCGAACCCGCAAUGGAAGAAAGGGGAGGGGUUUAUGCGGGGCGGGGUCUGGAGUUAGUGUUUUGGGAGUGGGAGGUAGUUACAGUGAUGUCUGUUUUUUCCCGUUCAAGAAUUAAGUGUGUACCUGCAGACGUGUAUUCAUUCAUAUAUUCUUGUGAGUAUUGGAUGAAGGAAUUAAGAUAGUCCCACUGUUAAAAAUGCAAAACAACGAAGAAAGGCUCCUAAUUUUUCUGUGUUGAAAAUGAGAGAAAAACAUCUCUUGCCUAUAUUAUUUUUAAUUUAUACAGAAAAUUACCAUAUCACAUGAUUUUACAUAACUCAAGUGGAAAAUUAAAUUCAAAAAGCAGGCCCAGUAUAAUCACAAGGAUUCAUAAAACGGAAGAGGGAGACAGAAGAGAUGGUCAGAGUGAUAUGAAGUAAAAAGGAUUCAGCUUACUCUUGCUGGAUUUGUAAAUGCAGGAAGGGACCACGAGUCAAGGAAUGCAGGUAGCUUCUAGAAGCUAGAAAAGGUUCUGAAGAGGGUCACUCCCUCACUGGCUGCCAUUGAAAGAGUC